GACGGGUGAUUAAUGCCAAGGAAAUUGCCCUGAUGUGGGGGAUAACCAUUGGAAACGAUGGCUAAUACCGCAAGAUGCGUACGGGUCAAAGAGGGGGACCUUCGGGCCUCUCGCGUCAGGAUAUGCCUAGGUGGGAUUAGCUAGUUGGUGAGGUAAGGGCUCACCAAGGCGACGAUCCCUAGCUGGUCUGAGAGGAUGAUCAGCCACAGUGGAACUGACACACGGUCCAGACUCCUACGGGAGGCAGCAGUGGGGAAUAUUGCACAAUGGGCGCAGGCCUGAUGCAGCCAUGCCGCGUGUGUGAAGAAGGCCUUCGGGUUGUAAAGCACUUUCAGUCGUGAGGAAGGUAGUGUAGUUAAUAUCUGCAUUAUUUGACGUUACCGACAGAACAAUCACCGGCUAACUCCGUGUCAGCAGCCGCGGUAAUUCUGAGGGUGCUAGCGUUAAUCAGAAUUACUGGGCGUAAAGCGCAUGCAGGUGGUUUGUUAAGUCGGAUGUGAAAGCCCGGGGCUCAACCUCCGAAUUGCAUUUGAAACUGGCAGACUAGAGUACUGUAGAGGGGGGUAGAAUUUCACGUGUAGCAGUCAAAUGCAUAGAGAUCUGAAAGAAGACUCUCCUGCCAAGGUGCCCCCCCCGCACAUAUACUGACACUGGUGAUGUAAAAGCGUGGGGGGGCCCACUCGGAUUCGAUAGUUCUGUUCAUCUACUCCGUAAAUUAUGUCCACUUCGAGGUUUUUUUCCUCCCCCCUUCGCUUUCUUAUCUCACGCGUUUUUUUAGAACGCCUUCGGGAGGAUCGUCCGCGGGGUUUUUUCUCACUUGAUUUGCCGCCGGCCCGCGCGUUCUUGUUGCAGCAAGUGUUUUAAUUACAUGCACCGCCCAUUAUUAUUACCACGCUUGACAUGCAGAAAAAUUGUCCAUUCUUUUGAUCUGUUGCCUUCAGACAAUAAUGAGA
rnacentral:rRNA from 1 species